UACGGAGGGUGCGAGCGUUGUCCGGAAUCACUGGGCGUAAAGGGCGCGUAGGUGGCCGAGCAAGGUCGCGGUGAAAGCCCGGGGCUCAACCCCGGGUCGGCCGUGGCAACUACUCGGCUUGAGCACUGUAGGGGCGGGUGGAAUUCCGGGUGUAGCGGUGGAAUGCGUAGAGAUCCGGAAGAACACCGGUGGCGAAGGCGGCCCGCUGGGCAGGAAGACGGGCGCAAGUCCGUCGGCUGACACUGAGGCGCGACAGCGUGGGGAGCAAACAGG
rnacentral:rRNA from 1 species